GAGGGUUUCGCCAAGUCGUUUGCGGAGGAGGCGAAAACGCGGUAUGAGAAGGCUGUCUUCAAGAUCGUUGAUCUGGAUGAUUAUGCAGCCGAGGAUGAUGAGUAUGAGGAGAAGCUGAAGAAGGAGUCGUUUGCAAUCUUCUUCUUGGCAACGUAUGGGGAUGGUGAGCCGACGGAUAAUGCGGCGAGGUUCUAUAGAUGGUUUACUGAGGGGAGCGAAAGGGGGAUUUGGCUGGAGAAAUUGCAGUUUGGUGUAUUUGGUUUGGGUAACAAGCAGUAUGAGCAUUUCAAUAAGGUUGCGAUUUUGGUGGACGAGAUCCUCGCUGAUCAGGGUGGGAAGCGCCUUGUCCCAGUUGGUCUUGGGGAUGACGAUCAAUGCAUCGAGGAUGAUUUUACUGCAUGGAAAGAGAUGAUGUGGCCGGAAUUGGAUCAGUUACUUCGAGACGAAGAUGAUACAUCAGGUGCCUCGACACCUUAUGCAGCUCUGAUCCCCGAAUAUAGAGUUGUAUUCGUUGACCCAACAGAUGCAUUGCCUCUAGAUAAGGAAAGGACUCUAGCCAAUGGGCAUACUGUUCACGAUAUUCAACAUCCAUGCAGGGCUAAUGUUGCGUUGCGACGUGAGCUUCAUUCCCCAGCUUCUGAUCGUUCAUGCAUUCAUUUGGAGUUCGACAUUGCGGACACUGGGCUUGUUUACGAAACAGGAGACCAUGUUGGUGUAUAUGCAGAAAAUUCUAUCGAGACUGCAGAGGAGGCUGAAAGGCUAUUAGAUUAUGCAUCAAACACAUUCUUCUCCAUUCAUUCUGAGAAAGAGGAUGGCACCCCCAUCAGUGUAUCCUCUUUGCCACCCCCUUUCCCAUCUCCUUGUACCUUGAGAACUGCGCUUACCAGAUAUGCUGACCUUCUUAGUUCACCCAAAAAGGCAGCUUUAAGUGCGCUAGCAGCUCAUGCUUCCGAUCCUACCGAAGCCGAUCGAUUAAGGUUUUUGGCUUCUCCUGCUGGAAAGGAUGAAUAUUCUCAAUGGAUAGUUGCAAGUCAAAGAAGCCUUCUAGAAGUUAUGUCUGAAUUUCCUUCUGCAAAGCCUCCGCUUGGAGUUUUCUUUGCUGCGGUAGCCCCUCGUCUGCAGCCAAGAUAUUAUUCAAUAUCAUCAUCACCAAAGAUGGCACCAACUAGAAUCCACGUCACUUGUGCAUUAGUGUAUGGGCCAACACCAACUGGAAGGAUUCACAAGGGAAUCUGUUCAACUUGGAUGAAGAAUGCUGUUCCAUUGGAGGAAUCCCAAGAAUGUAGCUGGGCUCCUAUUUUUGUGCGACAAUCGAAUUUUAAAUUACCAGCAGAUCCCACAGUUCCAAUUAUCAUGAUUGGCCCUGGUACAGGUUUGGCACCUUUCAGGGGCUUCUUGCAGGAAAGGUUGGCAUUGAAAGAAGGUGGAGCUGAACUUGGUCAUUCUACUCUCUUCUUUGGAUGCAGGAACCGGGAGCUGGACUUCAUCUACGAGGAUGAGCUGAAUAACUUUGUUGAAGCAGGGGCACUUUCUGAGCUGAUUGUUGCCUUCUCCCGAGAGGGUCCAACAAAGGAAUAUGUACAACACAAGAUGAUCGAGAAGGCGUCCGAAAUUUGGAGUAUAAUCUCCCAGGGUGGGUACAUCUAUGUCUGUGGUGAUGCGAAAGGCAUGGCUAAAGACGUGCACAGAGUUCUUCAUACAAUAGCCCAAGAGCAGGGAUCCCUCGAUAAUUCGAAGACUGAGAGCAUGAUUAAGGGCUUGCAAAUGGAUGGGAGAUAUCUCCGUGAUGUGUGGUAAGGAAGAAACUCAUACUCUCCCAGAAAUCUCAUGAGCCUGAAGGUUUUACUGAAUUG
rnacentral:misc_RNA from 1 species